rnacentral:RNase_P_RNA from 1 species
AGAGUCGCCUGGAUCACCGCGUUACGCAAGUACCGAGGAAAGUCCGGACUCCGCAGAGCAAGGUGGUGGGUAACGCCCACCCGGGGCAACCCGCGGGAUUAGUGCCACAGAAAAUAAACCGCCGAGAAAUCGGUAAGGGUGAAACGGUGGUGUAAGAGACCACCAGUGCGCGAAGCAAUUUGCGUAGCUAGGUAAACCCCACCUGGAGCAAGAUCAAACAGAUAACGUUCGAGAGCUGCUCGCUCAAGUUAUCGGGUAGGUUGCUUGAUUCUGUAAGUGAUUACAGAACUAGAUGGAUGGUGAUUCUCGACAGAAUCCGGCUUAUAGGGCGACUCUUCUU